rnacentral:lncRNA from 1 species
AACUAGGUCUUAUAAGAACUAACAACGGAAUUAAGCAAAUAUAUACAAAUACUUACUGCACAGAAGUAAAGAUGAGCCAUACAAUGAGUCUGAAGACAGAUGGAUGUGGAUUCCUUUCACUUGCUUCAAAUUAUUCUCGACGGACGAACCUGAGAAUAGGUAAGCUGGGACUUCCACACGACACUCAGACUUCCAGAAUACCAAACGACCACAGGGUCAACAAUCUUAGCUCUUUUCCCUGGAAGAUAUAUAUACCCUCACUCAAAGUUCAUGCUGCCUCCUUUUGGACAAAACGGUGCUGCCCUCUAUCAGCAGAAGUCACUAUCACCCCCAAAACACAGAAAAAAUGGUCAAUGACCACAACUGUAACCUGAUGUCCUAACUGCUAGACCAAUGACCUGCUAACCCAAUGUCCUAACUGCUAUGUAACCCAAAGGUACUAGUUUGAUUUUGAAUCAAGGCAGAUUUUUUCUUCAGAUAAAUUAAAAAUUCUAAUUUAAUCAUUAAUUCAUAGAUGGUGU